rnacentral:rRNA from 1 species
GUGUCAGCCGCCGCGGUAAUACGGAGGGUGCAAGCGUUAUCCGGAAUCACUGGGUUUAAAGGGUGCGUAGGCGGUCUGAUAAGUCAGAGGUGAAAGCCUGCAGCUUAACUGUAGAAUUGCCUUUGAUACUGUCAGACUUGAAUGGGGUCGAGGUCGGCGGAAUGUGGCAUGUAGCGGUGAAAUGCAUAGAUAUGCCAUAGAACACCAAUUGCGAAGGCAGCUGACUAGGCCUGUAUUGACGCUGAGGCACGAAAGCGUGGGGAGCAAACAGGAUUAGAAACCCCUGUAGUCC